GUUAAGUGAUUAAUUUUGUUUUAGUAAAUAUAGAUAAUAAAAGGUAAAAUUAGAAUAUUAUUUUAUAUUAAUUUGAAUUUAAACUGAAGCUAUAAAAGUUUAGAAAUAAACUAGGAUUAGAUACCCUACUAUUCUAAAAUUUGAAAUUGUUAAACUAAAAUAGUAAGAGGAUAGGUUCUUAAAACUUAAAAAAUUUGGCGGCAAUUUAAUCUUUUCGGAGGAACCUGUUUUUUGAUCGAUAAACCACGAAAAAUCUUGCUUGUUUUUGUUAAUAUUCAGUUUGUAUACCGUCAUUAAAAAAUAAUUCUUAAAGGAAAAAUCGUUUAGCUUAAUUGUUUACUAAAAUUAGAUCAAGGUGCAGCUUAUAAACAAGUUAAAAUGGGUUACAAUAAAUUACUUUACUGCGGAAUAUAAAAUAAAUAUAAUUAUGAAGAAGGAUUUGAUUGUAUUAUUGGUUUAAUAAGCUAAUAAGAUAUAAGUUCUAAAUUGUGCACAUAUCGCCCGUCGCUUCCAUUUAUACAUGAGAUAAGUCG
rnacentral:rRNA from 1 species